rfam:Lactobacillus wasatchensis strain WDC04 contig00010, whole genome shotgun sequence.
GCCGACUUAGCUCAGCUGGUAGAGCAUCGGUGUCGUAAUCCGGGGGUCACAGGUUCAAAUCCUGCAGUCGGCA